GCCGGAAGUGACCCGCCGCCGUGGUUGGGACCUGGCGGGAGGCGACGGCGAGACGUGGCCGAAUGAAAAAAGAACUUUUGAAGUGGAAGGACAACCUUAGUGUGUCAAACCCAUGUGUACAUGAAAUCCAUUUGUGAUGCACGGACUGGGUAGAAAGAAGGAAGAGAGCCAUGUACCCCGACAGAGUUUAAAGACCCAGAAGGCCAGCUUUGAAGAAAACCUGGAAAAAAGGAGAAUCCCGAGUCUUCCCUGUGGUACAGGAGACACAGAAACGGCAGAAGGGUAUGGAUCAGUAUUUACUCAACAGGGCACAUGAAAUGCGAUGAACAGAGGACAACAAUUAAGAUGAUAAAAUGUUCACAAUAUUCAGUGAAAUACAACAAAGAGAGACUGGCCUUUGUUUAAAAUCCCCAUAAAGGAUCCUGCUU